rnacentral:rRNA from 1 species
UACGAAAGGGGCGAGCGUUGUUCGGAUUUACUGGGCGUAAAGGGCGCGCAGGCGGCUCAUUUUGUCAGGCGUGAAAGCCCCGGGCUUAACCUGGGAACUGCGUUUGAUACGGAUGGGCUAGAGUUCGGGAGAGGAGAGUGGAAUUCCCAGUGUAGAGGUGAAAUUCGUAGAUAUUGGGAAGAACACCGGUGGCGAAGGCGGCUCUCUGGACCGAGACUGACGCUGAGGCGCGAAAGCGUGGGGAGCAAACAGG